CGGCGUAAAGAGUGGUUAAGAAAAUGAAAAAAUAGGGCCGAAUAACCUCAAGGCUGUUAUAAGCCCAUACGAGACCACGAAGCACAACUACGAAAGUGACCCUAAUAAUAUCUGAUUCCACGAGAGCCAUAUGAACAAACUGGGAUUAGAUACCCCACUAUGUUUGGUUGUAAACAUUGAUGGUUUUAUACACCUUCCAUCCGCCUGGGUAUUACGAGCACUAGCUUAAAACUCAAAGGACUUGGCGGUGCUUUAGACCCCCCUAGAGGAGCCUGUCCUGUAACUGAUAAUCCACGUUAAACCUCACCACCCCUUGCUAAGUCCGCUUAUAUACCACCGUCGCCAGCUUACCCUGUGAAGGAUAAAAAGUAAGCACAAAUGGCAAAGCCAAGAACGUCAGGUCGAGGUGUAGCGAAUGAGGUGGGAAGAGAUGUGCUACAUUCUCUAAUGGAGAGAAUACGCAAGGAAAUUUGAAAACAAUUUCAACUGAAGGAGGAUUUAGUAGUAAGUAGGGAGCAGAGCGCCUUACUGAAAAUGGCCCUGAAGCGCGCACAUACCGCCCGUCACUCUCUCCGAGAAUCCAUAGAGUACUACCUAAAACAAAUAUUUUUCAUAAGGAGGGACAAGUCGUAACAUGGUAAGCGUACCGGAA
rnacentral:rRNA from 1 species